UACGGAAUGUGCAAACGUUAUUCGGAAUCACUGGGCUUAAAGAGUCCGUAGGCGGCAUGUUAGGUGAGGUGUGAAAUCCCCCGGCUCAACCGAGGAAUUGCGCUUCAAACCGGCGUGCUUGAGGAAGAUAGAGGUGGGCGGAACUGAUGGUGGAGCGGUGAAAUGCGUUGAUAUCAUCAGGAACACCGGAGGCGAAGGCGGCCCACUGGGUCUUUUCUGACGCUGAGGAGCGAAAGCGUGGGGAGCGAACAGG
rnacentral:rRNA from 1 species